rnacentral:rRNA from 1 species
UACGUAGGGGGCAAGCGUUGUCCGGAUUUAUUGGGCGUAAAGAGCUCGUAGGUGGUUCGGUAAGUCGGAUGUGAAAUCUCCAGGCUCAACCUGGAGGGGUCAUUCGAUACUGCCGUGACUAGAGGUCGGUAGGGGAGUGUGGAAUUCCUGGUGGAGCGGUGAAAUGCGCAGAGUAUCAGGAGGAACACCGGUGGCGAAGGCGGGUCUCUGGGCCGAUACUGACGCUGAGGAGCGAAAGCGUGGGGAGCGAACAGG